rnacentral:lncRNA from 1 species
AGUGAAGCAUUUUUACAACAGUAUUCCCGAAAAGAAACCUUGGACUCUCAUCAGCUUCACUCACAGGCUAAAAUCCUAACAGGAAAAUCACCACCCCCAACACUCCCCAAACCCAAACUUCCCGAGAGAAUCAAAGCUAAGAUGAGCCAGGAUUCACCAAGCGGUGAAUUGGAAAGAUCUCUGUCAGAUGUGGAAAUUAAAACUACCCUCUCAAAGGAUCAGAAAAGUUCGCUGGUGGCAGAAAGCCGUGAGCACACAGAGGCCAAGCAAGAAGUAUUCCGAAAAAGCCUUGGAAGAAAACAGCUGUCAAUUAGCUCUGCAAACUCCCUCUCUCAGACAGUUCCAGAAAUCCCAGCACCCAAGGAAAAACAGACAGCACCCCUUGUUAAAUCUCACUCAUUCCCAUCAGGUUCAGAACAACAAAGUCCUAAGCCUUACAUGAGAAAAUUUAAGACACCCUUAAUGAUUGCGGAAGAAAAAUACAGACAGCAAAGGGAAGAGCUUGAGAAACAGAGACGGGAGAGUUCUUGCCAUAGCAUCAUCAAAACAGAAACCCAGCACCGCAGCUUAUCAGAGAAAGAGAAAGAAACA